UAGAGUUUGAUCAUGGCUCAGAGUGAACGCUGGCGGCGUAGAUUAGGCAUGCAAGUCGAGCGAUGAUUUUUAGAAAGUGACUGUCACCGUAAGGUGACUGUCACCGGAAAAAAAUCAUAGCGGCAGACUGGUGAGUAACACGUGAGUAAUUUACCUCUAAGUCGGGGAUAGCCUUGCGAAAGUGAGAGUAAUACCCGAUGUGUUUACGGCUGCAUAAGCAGUUGUAAGUAAAGGAGGCCCGCAAGGGUUUUUGUUUAGAGAUGAGCUCGCGUCCUAUCAGCUAGUUGGUGGGGUAAUGGCCUACCAAGGCGUAUGACGGGUAGCUGGCCUGAGAGGGUGGUCAGCCACAUGGGGACUGAGACACUGCCCCAACUCCUACGGGAGGCUGCAGUCGAGGAUAUUUAGCAAUGGACGAAAGUCUGACUAUGUGACGCCGCGUGAGGGAUGAAGGUCUUCGGAUUGUAAACCUCUUUCGAUAGGGAAGAAAACCUGCUUUAAUACAGCAGACUGACGGUACCUAGAGAAGAAGCCACGGCCAACUCUGUGCCAGCAGCCGCGGUAAUAAUCGAA
rnacentral:rRNA from 1 species